rnacentral:rRNA from 1 species
UAUUCCCUCUGGCGGCGUGCCUAAUACAUGCAAGUCGAGCGAACAGACGAGGAGCUUGCUCCUCUGACGUUAGCGGCGGACGGGUGAGUAACACGUGGAUAACCUACCUAUAAGACUGGGAUAACUUCGGGAAACCGGAGCUAAUACCGGAUAAUAUAUUGAACCGCAUGGUUCAAUAGUGAAAGACGGUUUUGCUGUCACUUAUAGAUGGAUCCGCGCCGCAUUAGCUAGUUGGUAAGGUAACGGCUUACCAAGGCAACGAUGCGUAGCCGACCUGAGAGGGUGAUCGGCCACACUGGAACUGAGACACGGUCCAGACUCCUACGGGAGGCAGCAGUAGGGAAUCUUCCGCAAUGGGCGAAAGCCUGACGGAGCAACGCCGCGUGAGUGAUGAAGGUCUUCGGAUCGUAAAACUCUGUUAUUAGGGAAGAACAAAUGUGUAAGUAACUAUGCACGUCUUGACGGUACCUAAUCAGAAAGCCACGGCUAACUACGUG